ACUAGUCCAUUUUUUCAGUUCUUGAGACGUGCACCAAUCUAAGGCUUCGCCGCUUAAGCUUUGACUGAAUAAGCGCAUCAACAGUGCCUUAUUUGCUCCUAACCCCACUAUUUGAUCAUAAUACCUUCUCAGAUGCACCAUUGGAUUUCCAGUACCAUCGAACACUUUAAACUUAGGGACCUUGCAUCCUUCUGGUAGAUCUACU
rnacentral:lncRNA from 1 species